rnacentral:rRNA from 1 species
UGGGGAAUAUUGCACAAUGGGGGAAACCCUGAUGCAGCAACGCCGCGUGAGUGAAGAAGUAUUUCGGUAUGUAAAGCUCUAUCAGCAGGGAAGAGAAUGACGGUACCUGACUAAGAAGCCCCGGCUAACUACGUGCC